rnacentral:rRNA from 1 species
UACAGAGGUCCCGAGCGUUGUUCGGAUUCACUGGGCGUAAAGGGUGCGUAGGUGGCUAGGUAAGUUUGAUGUGAAAGCUCUGGGCUCAACCCAGAAAUGGCAUUGAAUACUAUCUAGCUAGAGGAGUGGAGGGGGGACUGGAAUACUUGGUGUAGCAGUGAAAUGCGUAGAUAUCAAGUGGAACACCAGUGGCGAAGGCGAGUCCCUGGACACUUCCUGACACUGAGGCACGAAAGCUAGGGGAGCAAACAGG